UUGAGGAACACGAACAAUCAUGAUCUACAACCAACUGGAUUGGAGUCAUAUGCUGUAGCAACUGCUGGAGGACAGUCCAUUGAAAGUCAGUACAGUGUCAUUAGGAAAGGUGAUAUAAUGGAAUAUGAAGAAGUACCUCCACCAAUACCUCCUCCAUACAAUUACAAUGAAAUACAUAAUGAGCAGAAUGGAAAAUGUCCCGUGUACUCUACAGCCAAUAAAAAUCAAGUCAAUAAUGAU